AUUAAUAUCCUUUUCUCAUUGUUUUAUUUUGUUAUGUUUGUUUUCAAUUUUAUAAUGUUGUGUGUUUUUUUUAGGUGUGUUUCUUUUAUUGUCUUUUUUUUUUUACUAAUGAAAUUGAAGGUUCGUUUAGGCCAAGUUUAUGCAAACUUUCCAUGUAAAGCUCAAAACUCGUCCCUUUGUUCAAAAUUUUGCUCCUUAUUGUCCUUCAUAUAUUUUGCAAAUUUAAUCUUUACAUUGAGGACAAUGUUUCAUUUAGGCUGGGGGAAAGGAAUCAAAAUGUUCAAAAAAAAAAAAAAAAAACUUUCUUACCGACCGAUGAUAAUAUUUGAAAUUGUUUUUAUAUUAUUGUGACUAGGGGAUGUUGCUUUGAUUUUGUUUACGCUUGUUCAUGUUAGAUUGAUCUACAUUGAGCACAAUAAUCAUGAAAAUCACAUAUUAUUUAGAUUGGAUCAAUGGAUAGAAUAUGUAGAAUUAACUAUGACCCCAAAAAAAAAAUCCAACUAUACCAAUUCUAUGAUAGUUUGGGGUGGUUGAGCUGUUGUGGGGUGACAUUGAGAUAGAUGUGGAUUCCAUGUGUGUUACAUUUUGUGUGGAUUGCUUAAGACCAAUGAGAUGAUAAUUAGGUGAAAAUCUUAAGUUAAAUAUCAAUUUUCGAGAAUAAGUGUUUAAUGAGGGGCAUUGCACUAAUCAUUGCAUAGAAGGGAAAAAGUUGUCAUGUUGUGAAGCUACCCUAAAAGAGCCCAAUGAGGACAAUUAUAUACAUAAAAAGAGAUAGGCUAGUACAUGAAACAGAAUACGCACGGCAAACUUGAAAAUAACAGGUGCAUGAAACAGAAGACGCACUACAUGCCUUGAUUAAGUCCCAAACACUUAUUUUAAAGAAUUAG
rnacentral:lncRNA from 1 species